rnacentral:lncRNA from 1 species
CGUAAGGCGAUGGUAAGUAGAGAAAUCGAAAAUGAGAGAGUCUUGUUAGUGAAAACUCGCAGAGAGCACUAAAAGGUGACAGUGAGAGAGAAAUGAGAGAGGUCGAUUGGUGAAAACCUGCAAAAGGCGCCGUUGAUCAAAAAGGAGAAUCCAUCAUCACCAUUGGUAUUGAAAGAGUCCUGGCAAGGUUUUUUGGUUUCAGAACACGGGUCGCAAUGAGUUUAUUAGAAGUUGAAUGGUUGUGCAGAUCAGACAUCCAGUCUAAGAAGCAUGUCAUGCCUAUUGAAGUCCGUAUGCACCUCCGAUAAGUCCUUCUUUCCUCCUCGAAAGGGACACUUCCCUUUAAAAUUCAUUUCUUGUCCUUUACUUUCCCUUGAAUCCCUUUCGGUAUAACUCUAUUUCUGAAACUAAUACAAAGAAAAGACGGCAAGAUUGGUUUUACAGGGUUCUGCUUAAUAAAGGCCAAAUCGAAAGAAAGUACCCAGCUUCAGCGAGUGCAUCAAGUCGACCCUGACUGGCCAUGAUGGCCGAUGCUCUAAAACCCAAAGUUAUUGAAAAUGAAAGGAAGCCAGUCAAAAUCCCCUAGAGGCAGAAUAAAGUGAAAGGACCAAAGCCCAAUACGGGCGAGCCGUCACGAUAAAUUUUUGAAAAGUUGAUUCCCUCGGUUAGGAAAGAGAUCAAUCUUCAGAAAGGCCAACAAGUAGCAGAGGUUCUCACCAAAAGAUAGGUCGAGAUCGAGUGAUCAAAACCGUUAAGGCCACAAAACCAACCACCGUUUCAAACUAACAAUUGUUCUUUGAAAACAGGAAACAGUGCAAUCCAAAGCAACCAUGCAAGAAGCAGGUACAACCAAAAGAAACUGCACAAGGGCUAGAAAUAGCUUUGCUGCAAUAAUCAGUCUGAAAAGGAAGUCUCCUCCAAAUUCUUUCCUGCAUUUUUAUUCAAAUAAAUAAAAAAAAAUCAAAUCAAAAUCAUGUUAGCAUAGGGCCUCCAAUCUCUAGUUCCAUCUUUCCAACAUAAGGCCGCAUUCCCUAGUUAUCCCCGUCAUAACCCAAGGACCUUUUUUCCUUUUAUCCCGGCAUAACCCGUGGACCUCCCCGGCAUAACCCGAGGACCUUUUUCUUUUCUCCCGGCAUAACCCGUGGACCUCCCCGACAUAACCCGAGGACCUUUUUCUUUUCUCCUGGCAUAACCCGUGGACCUCCUCGGCAUAACCCGAGGACCUUUUCUUUUCUCUCGGCAUAACCCGUGGACCUCCCUGGCAUAACUCAAGGACCUUUUUCCUUUAUCCCGGCAUAACUCGUGGACUUCCUCGGCAUAACCCGAUGACCUUUUUCUUUUUUCUCCCGGCAAAACCCGUGGACCUCCACGGCAUAACCCGAGGACCCCUUUCUUUUCUCCCGGCAUAACCCGUGGACCCCCCCGGCAUAACCCGAGGACCUUUUUCUUUUCUCCCGGCAUAACCCGCGGACCUCCCUGGCAUAACCCAAGGACCUUUUUCUUUUAUCCCAGCAUAACCCAUGGACCUCCC